CCUACGGGAGGCAGCAGUGGGGAAUAUUGCACAAUGGGGGAAACCCUGAUGCAGCGACGCCGCGUGAGUGAAGAAGUAUUUCGGAAUGUAAAGCUCUAUCAGCAGGGAAGAUAAUGACGGUCCCUGAGUAAGAAGCCCCGGCUAACUACGUGCCAGCAGCCGCGGUAAUACGUAGGGGGCAAGCGUUAUCCGGCUUUACUGGGUGUAAAGGGGGCGUAGACGGGAUGGCAAGUCUGAAGUGGAAGCCCUGGGCUCAACCGCGGGACUGCUUUGGAAACUGUUAAGCUGGAGUGCAGGAGAGGUAAGUGGAAUUCCUAGUGUAGCGGUGAAAUGCGUAGAUAUUAGGAGGAACACCAGUGGCGAAGGCGGCUUACUGGACUGUAACUGACGUUGAGGCUCGAAAGCGUGGGGAGCAAACAGGAUUAGAUACCCCUGUAGUC
rnacentral:rRNA from 1 species